rnacentral:rRNA from 1 species
UUACGGGAGGCAGCAGUGGGGAAUUUUGCGCAAUGGGCGAAAGCCUGACGCAGCAACGCCGCGUGGAGGAUGAAGGUCUUCGGAUCGUAAACUCCUGUCGAUGGGGACGAAAGCCCGCAAGGGUUUGACUGUACCCGUUGAGGAAGCCACGGCUAACUCCGUGCCAGCAGCCGCGGUAAUACGGAGGUGGCAAGCGUUGUUCGGAAUUACUGGGCGUAAAGGGCGCGUAGGCGGUUUGGCAAGUCAGAUGUGAAAGCCCCGAGCUUAACUCGGGAAUUGCAUCUGAAACUGCUCAACUUGAGUCCUGGAUGGGGUAGUGGAAUUCCCAGUGUAGCGGUGAAAUGCGUAGAUAUUGGGAGGAACACCUGCGGCGAAGGCGGCUACCUGGACAGUGACUGACGCUGAGGCGCGAAAGCUAGGGGAGCGAACGGGAUUAGAUACCCGGGUAGUCC